UACGUAGGGUGCAAGCGUUAAUCGGAAUUACUGGGCGUAAAGCGUGCGCAGGCGGCUUUGCAAGACAGAUGUGAAAUCCCCGGGCUUAACCUGGGAAUUGCAUUUGUGACUGCACGGCUAGAGUGUGUCAGAGGGGGGUAGAAUUCCACGUGUAGCAGUGAAAUGCGUAGAGAUGUGGAGGAACACCGAUGGCGAAGGCAGCCCCCUGGGUCAAGAUUGACGCUCAUGCACGAAAGCGUGGGGAGCAAACAGG
rnacentral:rRNA from 1 species